rnacentral:piRNA from 1 species
GGCAGGUUCAAAGGUCCAAUGAUGAGUGCU